AACGAACGCUGGCGGCAUGCCUAACACAUGCAAGUCGAACGAGACCUUCGGGUCUAGUGGCGCACGGGUGCGUAACGCGUGGGAAUCUACCCUUGGGUUCGGAAUAACAGUUAGAAAUGACUGCUAAUACCGGAUGAUGACGAAAGUCCAAAGAUUUAUCGCCCAAGGAUGAGCCCGCGUAGGAUUAGCUAGUUGGUGAG
rnacentral:rRNA from 1 species